UCUAAUAGUUAACUUACUUAAAGAAUCAAGUAUUCAAGUUCCAUCAAGCUUCAUAAGUAGUAUAUAUAUGUAUUUUAGAGGCUACUAAGCCUUAAUCUUAUCCUCCUACCUAUAUUUAAGGUGCUACAAUUUAUAUGAGAUAUAUGCACCUUACUUCUUAUAACUACUAUAUUAAUGUCACGGACACAAAAUACAGACUUGAAAUCUAACAAGAAGUUCAAGAAGAAGUGACAGAACUAGAUUAAACAGAUGAGUACAAGAACAACACCAGAAAGGUGAGCUAGAACUCCAAGAGAUGUG
rnacentral:lncRNA from 1 species